AAAAGAGCAACAACACACACACACGAAAAAAAAAAAUUUAAAAAAAAAAAAAAGACAACAAAGGCAGAGGUUUAGGAUCACUGAACAACCACGCGCACCUCGCCCACGAGCCCACCCAAGGUCAGGCGCAGUUCGGAGCGCGGCACCACUUUCUCCCAAGAAAACUCCGCUUCGCUCACUUCCCCUCCCCGGCCCCGCCGCCAUCAGCGGCCGCUCCCCGCGGGCACCGCUGACCUUCCAGGGCUUACACAGAGCCAAGGCCUUCUCUGCUUUUCACAUUGCCGUGCUCAUGAGAAGACUGGGAAUGCACAGGAGGAUGGAAGGAGACACAGCCAGGACAGG